rnacentral:rRNA from 1 species
GAUGAACGCUGGCGGCGUGCCUAAUACAUGCAAGUCGAGCGAACAGACGAGGAGCUUGCUCCUCUGACGUUAGCGGCGGACGGGUGAGUAACACGUGGAUAACCUACCUAUAAGACUGGGAUAACUUCGGGAAACCGGAGCUAAUACCGGAUAAUAUAUUGAACCGCAUGGUUCAAUAGUGAAAGACGGUUUUGCUUUCACUUAUAGAUGGAUCCGCGCCGCAUUAGCUAGUUGGUAAGGUAACGGCUUACCAAGGCAACGAUGCGUAGCCGACCUGAGAGGGUGAUCGGCCACACUGGAACUGAGACACGGUCCAGACUCCUACGGGAGGCAGCAGUAGGGAAUCUUCCGCAAUGGGCGAAAGCCUGACGGAGCAACGCCGCGUGAGUGAUGAAGGUCUUCGGAUCGUAAAACUCUGUUAGUAGGGAAGAACAAAUGUGUAAGUAACUAUGCACGUCUUGACGGUACCUAAUCAGAAAGCCACGGCUAACUACGUG